CCUAAAUACAGAAGUUGUCGGGGCCUGGCAACUGCCAAGCCUUCUCUCCAAUCCGAGGAGAAGAUACCCUUAGGUUACUGUUAUGUGCAGCUUUAAUCCCCAUAGUUUGGGAAUCGGCGCAGCCUUUUCAUGUGAUGAGCUUCCUAUGGAAUGGUGACCUGGGACUGCCUGACCAACACCUCCCAAAAGGCAGGAGAGAAUGGGAAGGACGGAAUAUUACAAGGAUGGAGAGAAAGACGGAAGGGAUGGGCACAGCUCAAAGCUUCUGCAAAACUUUCUGAGGGAAAUCUCUGCUUUGGAAGUCAUGCUUCACUAGUGAGUGGCCAUUUGGGCUCAACUGCACCCAAGGAAGAGGAGUGCACAUCUCCAAGGGAGUCCCAUCUUUUCCAUUAGCACCCAGAGCUGUAUAAACACUCUUGCAACCACACUGAGAGAAACAGCACUCUUGGAGUCUCUGCAUUGCUAAGUGUUAAAAGAACAGAACAGUUUGAGUAUUGCCUAUUCUACCUCCAACUUAAACCACGUUUUUGAGACUAGCGUUUAGCUAUGGUGCAAGGUCAGACAUUAGCCCUAAAAUGGCAUAAAGGUUACAGCUGUGAGGAGGAGUUUAUUGACGUGACCGUAACCAUUGCUCCCUUACGAAAAUAAAACCACCAAAAAAUCCAAGCAGGAUUAGAAGUUAUUGGCCUGCCCAAAGAUCAGCGCCUUCUUCAGCUUAGAUUUUGGUUAUUUGAUCCAGAAUGGGAUCCCGGAGAUUCCACCUUUUCCGUUGUUACUCCUUUUCACAUGAACAGCUCUUAUCUGCACGUAGAAAGAGCAGAACAGACUCCUAAUAAAAAUACCUCCCGGCUUAACUGCAUAGCUGGUAGCUCCUCUCACACAGUGAAACAGCAGCACGCACACUGCCAUAAAAUUGAUAGGAGAGGUGUUUCCCCGUGGGACUAUUAAAUGCAAAUUUCUUUUAGAUCAACGAGGAGACGAGAUAAGUUUUUACACACAUCUGCUGGGUAAUCUCCUUUGGAGAGAGGGCUGCUCGUCUCACGCAGGGUCUGGAGCUCGCGAGGGCAGCUGCAAAGCGGACGACCGCUGCCAACAACAGCAGUCGGGAGAAGAGCCAGCCACACGUCCAUGUUGGUCGCUUAAGAGCUACAUCCAGCCCUGCCUGGGCUGCAGAGCCACCCCCGCCGUGUGAAGGUGAGGGGCAGGGGCUACCCCGAGCACGGGGACGCGCAGGGCGCCCAGCCCUGGGAGCCGCAUCAGCCGGGGUUAGGAGAGCCGGGAGCAGCCGGGCCGAGCCGCGAUAGCCGGCGCUGCCCCGCCAUCUAGUGCCGCCGGCCCGCAUCGCGCUUCCAGAGAGGAAUCGGGCUUAGCCGGCCCGAAUUGCGGGAUCUCCGGCUAUUUUUUCCCCCCUCCCCAUUCAUUUGCAUCAAUAUUUUAUGUGCCGUAAUGGCUGGAUAACCCCGGCGCAAAGAGACUCUAUUUCACAUUGUCGAUAGAAGCGGGAAGGGGAUAAAUUACCAGCGGCCACACGCGCUAUUUGUGGCUCAUUUGGAAACUUCUUGAGCUGAUUAGAUGCCUCCUAAAAGUAGAUAUCUAGUGUCAUUCGGAAUCACCGGAUCGCCUGAUUUACUGCUGAAGCUGCGGAGGGAGCGAAGCCAUUAGCCGAGCACUCAACUUGUUUGGCAAAUGCGGCUUAGUCGUGCCCGACGUGAUUUACAUAUGGAAGCUUGGGAGCAGAGCCAGGUGAAUAAUUUUCAGUGACAGUGAAUAAUGGCCCGGAGCAAUUUUUGUGGGUCCUCCCCCUCCUUUGGUAAUUGUCCGUGAGUAGGUCGCGAUUUCCUCAAACGUAUUCGUUUUUCUGAACAUAUUUGGCGAAUAAUUCCAGUGAACUUAGGGGAUGCCUGUAAGGUGUGAGCAAGCAGUUUUUCAGGGAGCUCUAGAAUCAAUGGGCUUUUAGCUGGUGGGCUGGGAGUAAUGCUGUGUUAAGUCCUUUGGUCAAGAAACACAAGGGUUACUCAUGUACAGAUCUAUGAUUUACUUCCAAAAUCCAUUCACCCUGCUCGUGUAGCGUAUGCUGUGUCUGCAAACUCGGUGCCAUGACAUCUUUAAGAUUAUAAUUAGAUAUGAAAAAAGAAAGAAAAAGAAAGAAAGAAAGAAAGAAAGAAAGAAAGAAAGAAAGAAAGAAAGAAAGAAAGAAAGAGAGAGAGAAAGAAAGAGAGAGAGAAAGAAAGAAAGAAAGAAAGAGAGAAAGAAAGAGAGAAAGAGAGAGAGAAAGAGAGAAAGAAAGAAAGAAAGAAAGAAAGAGAGAGAGAGAGAAAGAAAGAAAGAAAGAAAGAGAGAGAGAAAGAAAGAAAGAAAGAAAAGAAAGAAAGAGAGAAAGAAAGAAAGAAAGAAAGAAAGAAAGAAAGAAAGAAAGAAAGAGAGAGAGAAAGAAAGAGAGAGAGAAAGAAAGAAAGAAAGAAAGAGAGAAAGAAAGAGAGAAAGAGAGAGAGAAAGAGAGAAAGAAAGAAAGAAAGAAAGAAAGAGAGAGAGAGAGAAAGAAAGAAAGAAAGAAAGAGAGAGAGAAAGAAAGAAAGAAAGAAAAGAAAGAAAGAAAGAAAGAAAGAAAGAAAGAAAGAAAGAAAGAAAGAAAGAAAGAAAGAAGGAAAAGAAAGAAAGAAAGAAAGAAAGAAGAAAGCAAGCAAGCUGGGGAUACGAUCCUGUCCAGUUUUCUAUUAAAUACAAGUUAACUGUUGGUGAACGUCUUGCUUUUAGUUUUGAUUCCAGUUCAUCCUAGUAGCAUCCAAAAUGGAGAUGGUGGAGAAGUGACUUUGGCCACCCCACAGUCAGCUCUGGGUGUGAAGAACUGAAGUCUCCUGACUCAUGAGUGGAAGCUGGCAGUGAGGGAGAAAGAGCCAGGUUGGACUCUGAAUGUCAUUUCCUUUACAGAAAAAAAAAAAAAAAAAAUCCCAUUGUUGGCAAGCAAGUGGCAGAAACCAAUUUAGAAAUCAUCUCUGAUUUCUCUAUAUAAAAAUUCCUUCUGCAGUUGGAUCCACAUAUACUACAUCAUAGGCACAGGAACUCACUGUAGAUGAGCAUCAGCGUUAUUUAGGUAAGGGAUGAGUACAAAAAUCACAUGCUAAGUAUGUUAAAACGUAAAUGGUGAUGGGGCAAAGUAAAACAAAUUUAUCUGAGCUGGGGAUGAGCCGUAGUGAAGAAAAUGAUGGUAGAUGACGAGCUGUAUUCAGAACACCUCCACCACCUGUUUCCAUGGGAAAACAAGGCAGCAGCCGAACCAGCAACAGAAAUCUUGGCAGCUUUCAAGAAAAGCAAUACCACACCCCGUAGGCUUGGUGAGCUAUGAAUAACACCAAGGUUCAACUUUACAUGCUAGCACAGGAUAUACUGUCAUCUACAAUUCAAAUCUUUACUUAGGAGUUUAUUGGGUUCAUUAUCAAGAGAGAACAACAAAGAAGUGUUUGAAGACUGGAUCCAGUGAGACCUGGUUUUCUACAGAUUUAUGGCUUGAGGCUCAGCACCUAAGAGGACUUUGUACUGCCUAACAGCAGUUACGCUCACAUUGUACAUUUUCCCCCAGCUGGGAACAGUAAUAGGGUCUCUCCUACCCAUAUUUCCACCUUCUUGUAACUCAGAGAAAGUUUUUAUCUUUCACAUCUUUGGCCCUCUGUCAAAGUUGCUUAAAUUGACCGGUGAAUUUAAAAACUGUUGAGAUUACCUGGACUGAAAAUCAACAAAAGUGAUGGAAUUAGCCUUGCUUCCUUAGCAAACUCAAAGCUAAUCAACACUACGUUAGAGGGACAGAAACUUCAGACUUCAAAAUGGAAUCAAACAGCAGCAGAAAGAAUGACCUUUUCAAAGCCAGGUCCUUACUAAAUGCGCUCCUAGGAUGAAGGGAGGGAACCCACGAACACAUAGCAUCCAGCAUGACUUGUUUUCCAUCUGGCAGAUCAACCAGCAGAAACCAGUCUGGGACCAGGUUCAGGGGACUGCCCUUCGCUUGCAGUCGGUUUCAGAGCUGCCUCAGUGAUGGGCUAAUGAGGUUCACCCACUGCCAGGCACCUCCCUGCGACUGAGAGCCACUGUACUGCAAAGCAAAGAGAACAACUUUGAUACUCUCUGGAGGUGAGACGGCAAGUGCAGCUGCGAGGCUCAAAAAGAAAGCACCAGAAAGCAGAGUACGAGCUACUGCUUGUCAUUUAGCAGAGGCAAACGUGAGCACAACCAAAACAACAGAGUGAUCACAACAGCGUUAUCCGAUUAGCAGCACCUGCAACCAACAGAAACAGAUCUUCAAAUGGAGCUGUCAGCCGCCGUUGCAACACGAAGUGUGCUAUAACACACUGAGUGGGAAUAAGGAGCAGUGGUGUAAGAGGUGCAAUUGCAAGAGCACUGAAGGGACACUUGGCAGCGCUUGCGUGCCUGAAAUUAGAUCUGCCCAUCUCGUGCAUGGGUGCGUGGGGGGUGCCAGGUGGGAUUACAAUGAGGCUCUGCUUUCCUGUAAGGCAAAAAAUGUAUUCAAGUUCAGCCAAGAUAUAUGGGUUUAUAUACAAUGAUAUUAUUACUGUUGUUAUUGUGAUACAUGGCAUAAUAACUGCCUUUUACACACAUACCCAGACACGUGUACCGCCAUGCACUUAUUUUCUUUGUUACGAAAAAUAUUCAGCAUAUUGAAAUGUCACCAAAGUAUAGUUUAUCUGAUCGUAUUUCUUCCAUGAAGGGUAAGUGGUAAAAAUAAAGAGUAUUGAUAAAUCGGAAA
ensembl:lncRNA